GCCUAUCAGCUUGUUGGUGGGGUAAUGGCCUACCAAGGCGACGACGGGUAGCCGGCCUGAGAGGGUGAUCGGCCACACUGGGACUGAGACACGGCCCAGACUCCUACGGGAGGCAGCAGUGGGGAAUAUUGCACAAUGGGCGGAAGCCUGAUGCAGCGACGCCGCGUGGGGGAUGACGGUCUUCGGAUUGUAAACCCCUUUCAGUAGGGACGAAGCGCAAGUGACGGUACCUGCAGAAGAAGCACCGGCUAACUACGUGCCA
rnacentral:rRNA from 1 species